CCAGCAUGCAUCUCUGCUCACUCAGACCACACCCCCAUUAGUAGGAUGCAACAUUCUAGUGAUGGACAUGUAGAGUUUUAUAAGUAACGAGGGAGCAGACUAAGGUGAUCAGAACACAAUGGAAUGUCAAGUCUGUAAAUCUUUAAACCAUGAAGAUGGUUUGAUAGUUCAGGAAUUGGGCUUCUUUUUAUUACGGGCAGUCCUUUCACUCAGAUGCCCACUUCACACUGGAGCUGUACAUGUGUUGGCUGGCUGGCAUGAUUUGCUGUUGGUCAUGAGGCGGUCAGGGUGACGUUGAGGGCUAUGGUCGGCUCUCUGAGCUCAACGUUUAGAUUUGCUUUGUACCCUGAAUAAUCCAGAUAAUUGUCAAAUGUAGACACGGUUUUGUAUUGAAUGAUUUUAGGUUUAAAGUUGUUGUGGGACGUACAUGGUAGUUUGGUUCUUCGUAUGGUUUUGAGUGAUAUAACUUGUACACACUGGGUGCAUAAUAAUGUAAAGAUACACUGAAUAGUAGUAAUGUCCAACAGCAACAAACAGAUCUCCUCAAGGUAAGUCUGUUGGCUGUGUUUUAAUGAAGACCAUCGCUGGACUUCAGGAUCUUCCUCCGUUCAGCUCAAGGUGAGGCGCUGGUUCUGUUUUUUCUUUGGUUGGUUCCGGCCGGAAUGUUCGUAUUCCAGUCGGACGGUUUGUGCUUCCCGCCGUGGAAGGUUCUGAGUGCGGUCACUUGAUUUAGUCCCAAUGGUUAGCAUAGAACGUUGUAGUCUUGACAACCAUAAGAAACCACCUGGCAGUUAGUUGGACGAGAAUCUGGCGGAACGUUCUGGAUUGUAUUUGCGUAACCUUGAGCCGUUGCCAACGGAAAAAAAAUUCAGUCGGUUCCCAUUGGGAAUUGUUGCCCCUAUCUUAAACAACUUAAGUUUUGAUGUUAAAUACAUACUGUCGCGUACGUCGUACAAUAUGUUGAUAAUUUCUGAUUGUUGCGCCGUACUUUUAACCACGAUGACGUGACGGGACUCUCGCUGCGUACAAAACAGCGUUCUACUUGCGGGCCCAUUUUUGACAUCAGGAAAGGCUGAAAAUCAUUUCAAGGCGGAAGAUAAUUUGACAUUUCUUCAACGGAACCCAGCACCAGAAUAUGAGUAUAUUUGAUUUUAUAUUGAUACUGCUUAGUGUUCUUUGUUACUUCAGCUUUUGUACGUUCUAAAUAUCUGCUGUCAUUAAUUGCCACAUAAGUUAAACCCUACCCAAUGGAAUGACGUUAAACAACGACUUUGGUGCAGAGUUACCAACUGGAUAAUAUCAAAGCUAAAAUAAUGGCUGUCAUUUCCACAUGUUGCAGUAGAAGAUACUCUGGAACUGUACAAGGUUAAAAAGGUAACAUGUAGUUUGUCCCAAGGUGUCUGCCUCCUCACCCAGAGCAAGACCUCCACCUCCUCACCCAGAGCCAGGACUCCACCUCCUCACCCAGAGCCAGACCUCCACCUCCUGUCAGAAGUCCUCCAGAACAGCUGAAAGGCGAGGCUGAGAGGCUGGGGACCGGAGGCUUGUGGUGCCAGGGUGGACCGGAGACUGAGGCUGGAGACCAGGGGCCUGCAGCACCGGACCAGAGGACCAGCAAUCCAUGGCUGAAGGAGCUGAUGGAGGAGCCGAGCUGAUGGAGGAGCCGAGCUGAAGGAGCUGAUGGAAGAGUCGUGCUGAAGGCCCUGCCUUGUGGAGGAGCUGGUGGAGGCCCUGCCUGGUGAAGGACGUCUGUUGUGGGACCAGGACUCUGUCUGAGGAGAGCUACUGGAGGAGGUGAGAUGCUGGAGGACGACUAGGAAUCGACCAACAAGGAUUCCUCAACGUGUUUCUGGAGCAGAGGCGAGCUGGUAGGGGAGCCGUGAAUCUGGAGGAUGACCAUCACUCUACCAACAAGGAUUACUUUAGGGCCAGACUCGCGCUGUUUGUUCCAGACCAGGACUCUGGCUGAGGAGAGCUGAUGGAGGAGCCAAGACUCUGGAGGACGACAUCACUCCACCAACCAGGAUCCUCAGCCCAACCACUACUGUGUUUGUUACCUCCACCUCCUGUCAGAAGUCCUCCAGAACAGCUGAAAGGCGAGGCUGAGAGGCUGGGGACUGGAGGCAUGUGGUGCCAGGGUGGACCGGAGACUGAGGCUGGAGACCAGGGGCCUGCAGCACCGGACCAGAGGACCAGCAAUCCAUGGCUGAAGGAGCUGAUGGAGGAGCCGAGCUGAUGGAGGAGCCGAGCUGAAGGAGCUGAUGGAAGAGUCGUGCUGAAGGCCCUGCCUUGUGGAGGAGCUGGUGGAGGCCCUGCCUGGUGAAGGACGUCUGUUGUGGGACCAGGACUCUGUCUGAGGAGAGCUACUGGAGGAGGUGAGAUGCUGGAGGACGACUAGGAAUCGACCAACAAGGAUUCCUCAACGUGUUUCUGGAGCAGAGGCGAGCUGGUAGGGGAGCCGUGAAUCUGGAGGAUGACCAUCACUCUACCAACAAGGAUUACUUUAGGGCCAGACUCGCGCUGUUUGUUCCAGACCAGGACUCUGGCUGAGGAGAGCUGAUGGAGGAGCCAAGACUCUGGAGGACGACAUCACUCCACCAACCAGGAUCCUCAGCCCAACCACUACUGUGUUUGUUACCUCCACCUCCUGUCAGAAGUCCUCCAGAACAGCUGAAAGGCGAGGCUGAGAGGCUGGGGACUGGAGGCAUGUGGUGCCAGGGUGGACCGGAGACUGAGGCUGGAGACCAGGGGCCUGCAGCACCGGACCAGAGGGUGAUUUACUGCUGAGACCAACUUUGUUCGUAACCAGACCAGCAAUCCGUGGCUGAAGGAGCUGAUGGAGGAGCCAAGCUGAUGGAGGAGCCGAGCUGAAGGAGCUGAUGGAAGAGUCGUGCUGAAGGCCCUGCCUUGUGGAGGAGCUGGUGGAGGCCCUGCCUGGUGAAGGAUGUCUGUUGUGGGACCAGGACUCUGUCUGAGGAGAGCUACUGGAGGAGGUGAGAUGCUGGAGGACGACUAGGAAUCGACCAACAAGGAUUCCUCAACGUGUUUCUGGAGCGGAGGCGAGCUGGUAGGGGAGCCGUGAAUCUGGAGGAUGACCAUCACUCUACCAACAAGGAUUGUAAACUUUAGGGCCAGACUCGCGCUGUUUGUUCCAGACCAGGACUCUGGCUGAGGAGAGCCGAUGGAGGAGCCAAGACUCUGGAGGACGACAUCACUCCACCAACCAGGAUCCUUACCAGGAAUCUGGAGGACUGAUGGAGAAGGUGGAAGGCAAAUCCUGAGGACCACCAGGACUCUACCAUCAAGGAUUCCUCAUAAGUUUGCAUUAUCUGGACAUAGUGGACUAGACACACCUGAGCUGAACCCGCCCUGAUCCUGACAUCAUGCUGGUCCCGUCUCCUCAGUUCAUCUGAGCCUCGUCCUCCAGAAGACCUGCUGAGCUCAGCAGUCUGAGGCUGAUGGAUCAAUGACCUCCAGUGGGAGUGAUCUUCUUGACCCCACAUGUAACCGUGUGCUUCCACACGCCUUUCCCUCACGUCUGUCACUAACCUCACUACUUCACUACUCUCUACUGCUUCCUCUUUUCUUCCUUCUCUGUGGUUCAAACCUUUACACUGAAGGCGCGUCUUCCUGCCCUCAGAGGGUUUAGCGUUAGGGUUGAGAGUCAGGGUUUAGAGUCAGGGACAGAGCUGGUCAGGGAGGACUGCUUUUACACAAACCUCUUCACUUGCUUUCGGAAUGGUGGUGACAUUUUGAAAAGUUUCAUUUGGGAAAAUGUUUUCCUCUGCUUUCCUUUACAAAAUUGUAUUAAACUUCUGUCAAGUGUUUUUGUAUAUAUAUUAAAAUCCCACA